rnacentral:tRNA from 1 species
GCCAAUGUGGUGUAGUGCUUUGAGUACUGGACUACAACUCUGGAGACCAGGGUUCGAUUCCCGCUCUGGCU